ensembl:lncRNA
CUCUUAAGCUGAAAGUCCAACGAUUUCAAGAUUCAAUUAAUUAGAGACAUGGAGAGCCAAAGAACAAGAUACCUGUACGGAGAGCUCAGGAGACAUUUCCAUAGGCUCAUUGUCAAGUGAAUUGUCAAAGCCCCCAUUCGCUGGGAAGCAAAGGGGAUCAUCCCAACCCAGAGAUUGAACCCAGGUCUCCCACAUUGCAGGAGGAUUCUUUACCAGCUGGGCCACAAGGGAAGCCCCUAGAUUCUUUUCCUGUAUAGGUUAUUACAGAAUAUUGAGUGGAGUUCCCUGUGCUAUACACCUGAUACUAAUGUCUGGUGCCUUUCUGAAUCUAUAUUUAUUUGCAUCUCCCCUGAACGAAAACCCAAUAUUCUCAGUCCUCUGUAUCUAUGAGUUCCACACCUUUGGAUUCAACCAACCAUGGAGAGAAUAUAUUGAAGAAAAUAAAUUCUGGAAAGUUUCAGAAAGCCAAACUUGAAUUUGUCUUACAGGCAAGUAUUUACAUACA